AGACAAUGUCAAAACGUCGAAAAAUUAAAAAUUAUUGUGUUUCAAAAUGUAAUUUCUAUGUAAAAUAAUAAAAAAAUGAAACGUCGACACGCCUGCGUGAGUAUACUAUAGUAACACACCAAAAUGUAUGAUAAUUAUAUGGAUAACUUUUUUAAAAAAGUCAACAAAAGCUACGUGACUAGAAAUACAGAUAGUACUGAUUUUGAAUAUCCGACCAAAAUUCCAGCCGUGAGUAUAAAGCAUGGAAAACACCGCCUCUUAGACGGCAUCAAUGGAAAUAAUAACACUCCAAAUAUACAAACGAUAUAUGAGGAUCCAAAGCUUAAAUCAAGUAAAGCAAGAGACAAGAAAUACUUCAAACAUGUAUUGCAAAAAUAUCUUUCAAAAGACCAACUUAUAGAAAUGCAAAGUGGUAAAGAAGAGAGUUUUCAAAAUAAUCGUGGGGACCAUCAAGGUAGUCUUAAUACAAAUUCUAAGUCCUUGCAAGGCAAAGUUCUACCACGUUUGUCUCAUAUUUUUAGACGUCCAAGUUAUUACACAAAGCAAUUGCCAAGUAUAAAAGAAAAUCACAAAAUUGACACUAAUCAAUAUUUAUAUUGUGUUGGAUGUGAACGAAGGCGAAAUAAGAAAAGUCGUAAGGUUAGAGGUUUUGAACAACCUGUUUACAACGUUGAAGGAGAUUUAGUAACUCCAUUUCUUACCAAAAUAUCCACACCGAAAACACAUGUCACGAAAAACCAAUCAUCUGGUACACCUUCUCCUUUAACUUCAUCAGUUGGUUCCAUUGAUAAUUCUUACAAGCAAAGAUCAAUAAUGACUGCUGACGGAGUAGAAAACUAUGAAAUAUUCUACAACCAAACUAAUUUGGAUGGUUCUGAUUAUAAACGACACAAAACUCUACAAUACCCAUCAAUGUAUACCAAACACCUAACACAGGCGAUGAGAAGUACAUGUUGUCAGAUAAAUUAUGGAUCACUUCCGGGAAAAUCUAAUGACCAAAAAGUAAAGCCAUCUUCAUCAUCCAGCUUUUGGAACUUUGUUGCCGAAAAAAUCCAGGCGAAGUACAAAAAGAAAGGCCAGAUUCCUGAUGAUUGUGCGUGUGAAGAGAUACGAAGGCCACCACAAAUUACAAAUCAGAAGCAAGACUUGGCACAUUGCUGUCCUUCAAGUUGUGAAAAAUUUAAAAAUUUCUUAAAAGGCAGUUCCGAUACAUUACAAAGCCCCAAUCGGGCUAGAAUGUCACCUAAUUCAAUGCAAAUGCAAGGUCCUGGCUCAUCAGGUAUAAAGUUGACGAAAUCCCCUGUACCACAUUCGCUAUCAAAGAAUGCAACUUCAUGUCAAUGUAAUUCUAAAGAAUUAAAAACUCAGGAAGCCCCUACGCCAACCUAUAACGAAUGUCAGAAGCCUCACGAUGAAAUAACAACAACCCUAGCUGAAACUUAUAAUGGGGAAAUUCUUUGUAUUCAUAACCCUCCCUGUGUUCUAAUAAAUGGUUGUCUCAAUCUUCCUCCACCAAAACCAUCUGGGCUGAUGAAUAUCUGGCGAUUUACGCAACAUAAGAAAUCCUCCGAGUUCCAAAAAAAUAAAUAUCAAUUUAUAGAACAAGCUUGUCAAUACGAACAGCCCUUAGUCAUACAGGAUUUGUUGCCGGAAUUCCAAACGGAAAAAAUAGUUCAGAGUGUCUGUAACCACAAGCCACCCUGUGAAAUUGUUCGUGGCUGCUAUAAGCCGAAAUUCCACCAAACUUUGAAAGAUUCACGCUCCUGUGUUCACGUACCAAUGUGUCCAAAGUUGCCUGAAUGUUUAUUACGAUACUCCGCUGACGGGCAGGCUCAGUGUCCACAUCGUCCGAGAUGUAGAGAGUUUCCAAUGUGCUCCAAGAAGCUGUUAUUGUUAACUGCAAAAGAAGAUAUGAGUACUCAAGUAAGGCCCAGAUCACGUAUGGUGUGUCGACAUGAUCCGCCAUGUUUAAUGAUACCACGUUGCAUAGCUCGUGUGCUCUGCACUGACGCUGUGCCGUACGACGCAAUUCCAGACUGUGUGCACCAGCCGUUUUGUGAACUCAUCCCGGCAUGUUGCAGGAAGACGGCUAAAGAAAUGGUUUCUGUUUCGUCCCAAUAUCCAAAAACCCCCUGUCGUAUAGUUUAACUCAAGAUAAUAAGCCUUCGCUGACUUCAAACGACGAAGGAGUGUCUAUAAAAGUGCCUCGCAUGCCUCUCCAUCAAAGAAAUCGAUUAAUGAGAUUGAUUAAUAGCAAACGAUGAGUAUGGUAAACAGAAGCCGUCAAGUAUAUGUAAAUGUACGCUAACACACAAUAAAGUUAUAUUACAACAAUUAA